GGGUUGUGAGGUUAAGCGACUAAGCGUACACGGUGGAUGCCCUGGCAGUCAGAGGCGAUGAAGGACGUGCUAAUCUGCGAUAAGCGUCGGUAAGGUGAUAUGAACCGUUAUAACCGGCGAUUUCCGAAUGGGGAAACCCAGUGUGAUUCGUCACACUAUCAUUAACUGAAUCCAUAGGUUAAUGAGGCGAACCGGGGGAACUGAAACAUCUAAGUACCCCGAGGAAAAGAAAUCAACCGAGAUUCCCCCAGUAGCGGCGAGCGAACGGGGAGCAGCCCAGAGCCUGAAUCAGUGUGUGUGUUAGUGGAAGCGUCUGGAAAGGCGUGCGAUACAGGGUGACAGCCCCGUACACAAAAAUGCACAUACUGUGAGCUCGAUGAGUAGGGCGGGACACGUGGUAUCCUGUCUGAAUAUGGGGGGACCAUCCUCCAAGGCUAAAUACUCCUGACUGACCGAUAGUGAACCAGUACCGUGAGGGAAAGGCGAAAAGAACCCCGGCGAGGGGAGUGAAAAAGAACCUGAAACCGUGUACGUACAAGCAGUGGGAGCACGCUUAGGCGUGUGACUGCGUACCUUUUGUAUAAUGGGUCAGCGACUUAUAUUCUGUAGCAAGGUUAACCGAAUAGGGGAGCCGAAGGGAAACCGAGUCUUAACUGGGCGUUAAGUUGCAGGGUAUAGACCCGAAACCCGGUGAUCUAGCCAUGGGCAGGUUGAAGGUUGGGUAACACUAACUGGAGGACCGAACCGACUAAUGUUGAAAAAUUAGCGGAUGACUUGUGGCUGGGGGUGAAAGGCCAAUCAAACCGGGAGAUAGCUGGUUCUCCCCGAAAGCUAUUUAGGUAGCGCCUCGUGAAUUCAUCUCCGGGGGUAGAGCACUGUUUCGGCAAGGGGGUCAUCCCGACUUACCAACCCGAUGCAAACUGCGAAUACCGGAGAAUGUUAUCACGGGAGACACACGGCGGGUGCUAACGUCCGUCGUGAAGAGGGAAACAA
rnacentral:rRNA from 1 species